AGCCCAUGGUGUGGACAUCUCCUUUGGAGGUCCAUGAACCUUUCCCAAGUUUCGUAUAACAACUCACCUUCGUGUUGAUUAAAACAUGUGAUUUCUAUACAAAGUUU